rnacentral:rRNA from 1 species
CUACGGGACGCAGCAGGCGAGAAAACUUUGCAAUGUGCGAAAGCACGACAAGGUUAAUCCGAGUGGUUUCUGCUAAAGGAACCUUUUGACAGUCCUAGAAACACUGUUGAAUAAGGGGUGGGCAAGUUCUGGUGUCAGCCGCCGCGGUAAAACCAGCACCUCAAGUGGUCAGGAUGAUUAUUGGGCCUAAAGCAUCCGUAGCCGGCUCUGUAAGUUUUCGGUUAAAUCUGUACGCUCAACGUACAGGCUGCCGGGAAUACUGCAGAGCUAGGGAGUGGGAGAGGUAGACGGUACUCGGUAGGAAGGGGUAAGAUCCUUUGAUCUAUUGAUGACCACCUGUGGCGAAGGCGGUCUACCAGAACACGUCCGACGGUGAGGGAUGAAAGCUGGGGGAGCAAACCGGAUUAGAUACCCCUGUAGUC